GGUUAAGCGACUAAGCGUACACGGUGGAUGCCCUGGCAGUCAGAGGCGAUGAAGGACGUGCUAAUCUGCGAUAAGCGUCGGUAAGGUGAUAUGAACCGUUAUAACCGGCGAUUUCCGAAUGGGGAAACCCAGUGUGUUUCGACACACUAUCAUUAACUGAAUCCAUAGGUUAAUGAGGCGAACCGGGGGAACUGAAACAUCUAAGUACCCCGAGGAAAAGAAAUCAACCGAGAUUCCCCCAGUAGCGGCGAGCGAACGGGGAGCAGCCCAGAGCCUGAAUCAGUAUGUGUGUUAGUGGAAGCGUCUGGAAAGGCGCGCGAUACAGGGUGACAGCCCCGUACACAAAAAUGCACAUGCUGUGAGCUCGAUGAGUAGGGCGGGACACGUGGUAUCCUGUCUGAAUAUGGGGGGACCAUCCUCCAAGGCUAAAUACUCCUGACUGACCGAUAGUGAACCAGUACCGUGAGGGAAAGGCGAAAAGAACCCCGGCGAGGGGAGUGAAAAAGAACCUGAAACCGUGUACGUACAAGCAGUGGGAGCACGCUUAGGCGUGUGACUGCGUACCUUUUGUAUAAUGGGUCAGCGACUUAUAUUCUGUAGCAAGGUUAACCGAAUAGGGGAGCCGAAGGGAAACCGAGUCUUAACUGGGCGUUAAGUUGCAGGGUAUAGACCCGAAACCCGGUGAUCUAGCCAUGGGCAGGUUGAAGGUUGGGUAACACUAACUGGAGGACCGAACCGACUAAUGUUGAAAAAUUAGCGGAUGACUUGUGGCUGGGGGUGAAAGGCCAAUCAAACCGGGAGAUAGCUGGUUCUCCCCGAAAGCUAUUUAGGUAGCGCCUCGUGAAUUCAUCUCCGGGGGUAGAGCACUGUUUCGGCAAGGGGGUCAUCCCGACUUACCAACCCGAUGCAAACUGCGAAUACCGGAGAAUGUUAUCACGGGAGACACACGGCGGGUGCUAACGUCCGUCGUGAAGAGGGAAACAACCCAGACCGCCAGCUAAGGUCCCAAAGUCAUGGUUAAGUGGGAAACGAUGUGGGAAGGCCCAGACAGCCAGGAUGUUGGCUUAGAAGCAGCCAUCAUUUAAAGAAAGCGUAAUAGCUCACUGGUCGAGUCGGCCUGCGCGGAAGAUGUAACGGGGCUAAACCAUGCACCGAAGCUGCGGCAGCGACGCUUAUGCGUUGUUGGGUAGGGGAGCGUUCUGUAAGCCUGUGAAGGUGUGCUGUGAGGCAUGCUGGAGGUAUCAGAAGUGCGAAUGCUGACAUAAGUAACGAUAAAGCGGGUGAAAAGCCCGCUCGCCGGAAGACCAAGGGUUCCUGUCCAACGUUAAUCGGGGCAGGGUGAGUCGACCCCUAAGGCGAGGCCGAAAGGCGUAGUCGAUGGGAAACAGGUUAAUAUUCCUGUACUUGGUGUUACUGCGAAGGGGGGACGGAGAAGGCUAUGUUGGCCGGGCGACGGUUGUCCCGGUUUAAGCGUGUAGGCUGGUUUUCCAGGCAAAUCCGGAAAAUCAAGGCUGAGGCGUGAUGACGAGGCACUACGGUGCUGAAGCAACAAAUGCCCUGCUUCCAGGAAAAGCCUCUAAGCAUCAGGUAACAUCAAAUCGUACCCCAAACCGACACAGGUGGUCAGGUAGAGAAUACCAAGGCGCUUGAGAGAACUCGGGUGAAGGAACUAGGCAAAAUGGUGCCGUAACUUCGGGAGAAGGCACGCUGAUAUGUAGGUGAAGUCCCUCGCGGAUGGAGCUGAAAUCAGUCGAAGAUACCAGCUGGCUGCAACUGUUUAUUAAAAACACAGCACUGUGCAAACACGAAAGUGGACGUAUACGGUGUGACGCCUGCCCGGUGCCGGAAGGUUAAUUGAUGGGGUCAGCGCAAGCGAAGCUCUUGAUCGAAGCCCCGGUAAACGGCGGCCGUAACUAUAACGGUCCUAAGGUAGCGAAAUUCCUUGUCGGGUAAGUUCCGACCUGCACGAAUGGCGUAAUGAUGGCCAGGCUGUCUCCACCCGAGACUCAGUGAAAUUGAACUCGCUGUGAAGAUGCAGUGUACCCGCGGCAAGACGGAAAGACCCCGUGAACCUUUACUAUAGCUUGACACUGAACAUUGAGCCUUGAUGUGUAGGAUAGGUGGGAGGCUUUGAAGUGUGGACGCCAGUCUGCAUGGAGCCGACCUUGAAAUACCACCCUUUAAUGUUUGAUGUUCUAACGUUGACCCGUAAUCCGGGUUGCGGACAGUGUCUGGUGGGUAGUUUGACUGGGGCGGUCUCCUCCUAAAGAGUAACGGAGGAGCACGAAGGUUGGCUAAUCUGGUCGGACAUCAGGAGGUUAGUGCAAUGGCAUAAGCCAGCUUGACUGCGAGCGUGACGGCGCGAGCAGGUGCGAAAGCAGGUCAUAGUGAUCCGGUGGUUCUGAAUGGAAGGGCCAUCGCUCAACGGAUAAAAGGUACUCCGGGGAUAACAGGCUGAUACCGCCCAAGAGUUCAUAUCGACGGCGGUGUUUGGCACCUCGAUGUCGGCUCAUCACAUCCUGGGGCUGAAGUAGGUCCCAAGGGUAUGGCUGUUCGCCAUUUAAAGUGGUACGCGAGCUGGGUUUAGAACGUCGUGAGACAGUUCGGUCCCUAUCUGCCGUGGGCGCUGGAGAACUGAGGGGGGCUGCUCCUAGUACGAGAGGACCGGAGUGGACGCAUCACUGGUGUUCGGGUUGUCAUGCCAAUGGCACUGCCCGGUAGCUAAAUGCGGAAGAGAUAAGUGCUGAAAGCAUCUAAGCACGAAACUUGCCCCGAGAUGAGUUCUCCCUGACUCCUUGAGAGUCCUGAAGGAACGUUGAAGACGACGACGUUGAUAGGCCGGGUGUGUAAGCGCAGCGAUGCGUUGAGCUAACCGGUACUAAUGAACCGUGAGGCUUAACCUU
rnacentral:rRNA from 1 species